CCCCACACACAGUUCUGCUCCCGAACUUUCAUUCAUUUUCUUAACCCAAUUUUGGACAGGCGGGGCGGGGCGGCAAACCCCCAACAACAGGUUGUAUGAGUCGACAGAGCCCGGGUCCGUUAAGCGCCGUCUCUGCCUGUAGCAUCUCCAGUUCAAAGAAGAUAGCGACACUCCAGCGGCCACACAGCCUAACUUAGACCGUUUCUGUUAACUGCCACCAUGCUGCUAAAGGUCAAAUACGGAAGUACCAAAAAAUACAUCCGAUUAAAGUCAGGAUUUCUCAUCUGUGAAGUAAAAAACAAGUUUGGAAUUCCGGAUGGAACUGAGCUAUCACAUUUUUGAUGACACAGCAGUGGAGGAAGAUGUUCUUCUUGAACUUAUAGAAAGCAAACCUGACCUGUGUCUGACUGUUAGUGACAGCAUAUGAGAUAAACAUUCUCGUCCAUCCACCCUCCCUGAAGAACAGUCAGUCACUUUGAGUGUGACUGACUUCUUGAACUUCUUGAACAUUUCAAUGAGCAGUUUCAUGCGUACAAAGUGUUCGUAAGUACUCAAAAUGAGUUCAUUAAAGCAGACAGUCUUGCCAUUCACAGGCCGUUCAACUUACAAAGUGCCUACAGUGAAGACGACAGCAUUUAUAUUGUACCUUUGUCUUUGUUGUAAUGAUGGUCAAGUUUACCUUGUGCUCAAAAUGUUAUGGUGCUUGGAUGAUCUCUUACUCUUAAUAAAGAGUUCAAAGCUUU